UAAAGCGUGCGCAGGCGGUUUUGUAAGUCUGUUGUGAAAUCCCCGGGCUCAACCUGGGAAUGGCAAUGGAGACUGCAAGGCUAGAGUUUGGCAGAGGGGGUAGAAUUCCACGUGUAGCAGUGAAAUGCGUAGAUAUGUGGAGGAACACCGAUGGCGAAGGCAGCCCCCUGGGUCAAAACUGACGCUCAUGCACGAAAGCGUGGGGAGCAAACAGGAUUAGAUACCCUUGU
rnacentral:rRNA from 1 species